GGAGAGGUGGCCGAGUGGCUGAAGGCGUUCGCUUGGAAAGCGAAUUUACGCCAAAAGCGUAACAAGAGUUCGAAUCUCUUCCUCUCCGCCA
rnacentral:tRNA from 1 species